AUUGAACGCUGGCGGCAUGCUUUACACAUGCCAGUCGAACGGCAGCGCGGGCUUCGGCCUGGCGGCGAGUGGCGAACGGGUGAGUAAUGCAUCGGAACGUGCCCAGUAGUGGGGGAUAGCCCGGCGAAAGCCGGAUUAAUACCGCAUACGACCUGAGGGUGAAAGCGGGGGACCGAAAGGCCUCGCGCUAUUGGAGCGGCCGAUGUCGGAUUAGCUAGUUGGUGGGGUAAAGGCUUACCAAGGCGACGAUCCGUAGCUGGUCUGAGAGGACGACCAGCCACACUGGGACUGAGACACGGCCCAGACUCCUACGGGAGGCAGCAGUGGGGAAUUUUGGACAAUGGGGGCAACCCUGAUCCAGCCAUGCCGCGUGCGGGAAGAAGGCCUUCGGGUUGUAAACCGCUCUUGUUCGGGAAGAAAUCCUCUGGGCUAAUACCCCGGGGGGAUGACGGUACCGGAAGAAUAAGCACCGGCUAACUACGUG
rnacentral:rRNA from 1 species